AACGAACGCUGGCGGCAGGCCUAACACAUGCAAGUCGAACGAUAAGCCACCUUCGGGUGGUGGACAGUGGCAGACGGGUGAGUAACGCGUGGGAACGUGCCUUUCGGUUCGGGAUAAGCCAGGGAAACUUGGGCUAAUACCGGAUACGCCCUUCGUGGGAAGGAUUCAUUGCCGAAAGAUCGGCCCGCGUCGGAUUGGCUUGUUGGUGGGGGAAUGGCCGACCAAGGCGACGCUCCGGAGCUGGGCUGAGAGGAUGACCAGCCACACUGGGACUGAGACACGGCCCAGACUCCUACGGGAGGCAGCAGUGGGGAAUAUUGGACAAUGGGCGAAAGCCUGAUCCAGCCAUGCCGCGUGGGUGAAGAAGGCCUUAGGGUUGUAAACCCCUUUCAGCGGGGACGAUAAUGACGGUACCCGCAGAAGAAGUCCCGGCUAACUCCGUGCCAGCCGCCGCAGUAA
rnacentral:rRNA from 1 species